GCUUUACAUGCAGUCGAACGGCAGCGCGAGAGAGCUUGCUCUCUUGGCGGCGAGUGGCGGACGGGUGAGUAAUAUAUCGGAACGUGCCCAGUAGCGGGGGAUAACUACUCGAAAGAGUGGCUAAUACCGCAUACGCCCUACGGGGGAAAGGGGGGGAUCGCAAGACCUCUCACUAUUGGAGCGGCCGAUAUCGGAUUAGCUAGUUGGUGGGGUAAAGGCUCACCAAGGCAACGAUCCGUAGCUGGUUUGAGAGGACGACCAGCCACACUGGGACUGAGACACGGCCCAGACUCCUACGGGAGGCAGCAGUGGGGAAUUUUGGACAAUGGGGGAAACCCUGAUCCAGCCAUCCCGCGUGUAUGAUGAAGGCCUUCGGGUUCUAAAGUACUUUUGGCAGAGAAGAAAAGGUAUCCCCUAAUACGGGAUACUGCUGACGGUAUCUGCAGAAUAAGCACCGGCUAACUACGUGCCAGCAGCCGCGGUAAUACGUAUGGUGCAAGCGUUAAUCGGAAUUACUGGGCGUAAAGCGUGUGUAGGCGGUUCGGAAAGAAAGAUGUGAAAUCCCAGGGCUCAACCUUGGAACUGCAUUUUUAACUGCCGAGCUAGAGUAUGUCAGAGGGGGGUAGAAUUCCACGUGUAGCAGUGAAAUGCGUAGAUAUGUGGAGGAAUACCGAUGGCGAAUGCAGCCCCCUGGGAUAAUACUG
rnacentral:rRNA from 1 species